rnacentral:rRNA from 1 species
CCUACGGGAGGCAGCAGUGAGGAAUAUUGGACAAUGGGCGCAAGCCUGAUCCAGCCAUGCCGCGUGCAGGAAGAAGCAUCUAUGGUGUGUAAACUGCUUUUGUACAGGAAGAAACACUCCCUCGUGAGGGAGCUUGACGGUACUGUAAGAAUAAGGACCGGCUAACUCCGUGCCAGCAGCCGCGGUAAUACGGAGGGUCCGAGCGUUAUCCGGAAUCAUUGGGUUUAAAGGGUCCGUAGGCGGUUUAAUAAGUCAGUGGUGAAAUCUGGUCGCUCAACGAUCAAACGGCCAUUGAUACUGUUAGACUUGAAUUAUAAGGAAGUAACUAGAAUAUGUAGUGUAGCGGUGAAAUGCUUAGAUAUUACAUGGAAUACCAAUUGCGAAGGCAGGUUACUACUUAUGGAUUGACGCUGAUGGACGAAAGCGUGGGGAGCGAACAGGAUUAGAUACCCUGGUAGUCCACGCCGUAAACGAUGGAUACCUAGCUGUUCGGAGCAAUUNUGAGUGUGUAGAGAAGAGAGUAGUAGUACCGACCGUCGGAGGUACGGUUCGUCGAGAAGUUAGUAAGUUACGUUAAGUAGAAGUUAGUUAGGCGUUGAGAGAGCGACGGACGACGACGACGGGAGGAGGAG